UACGUAGGGCGCAAGCGUUGUCCGGAAUUAUUGGGCGUAAAGAGCUCGUAGGCGGUCUGUUACGUCCGCUGUGAAAACCCAGGGCUUAACCCUGGGCUUGCAGUGGAUACGGGUAGACUAGAGGCAGGUAGGGGAGAAUGGAAUUCCCGGUGUAGCGGUGAAAUGCGCAGAUAUCGGGAGGAACACCGGUGGCGAAGGCGGUUCUCUGGGCCUGACCUGACGCUGAGGCACGAAGGCCAGGGGAGCAAACGGG
rnacentral:rRNA from 1 species